rnacentral:ncRNA from 3 species
GGAAGUAAAAGUCGUAACAAGGUCUCCGUUGGUGAACCAGCGGAGGGAUCAUUACCGAGUUUACAACUCCCAAACCCCUGUGAACAUACCAAUUGUUGCCUCGGCGGAUCAGCCCGCUCCCGGUAAAACGGGACGGCCCGCCAGAGGACCCCUAAACUCUGUUUCUAUAUGUAACUUCUGAGUAAAACCAUAAAUAAAUCAAAACUUUCAACAACGGAUCUCUUGGUUCUGGCAUCGAUGAAGAACGCAGCAAAAUGCGAUAAGUAAUGUGAAUUGCAGAAUUCAGUGAAUCAUCGAAUCUUUGAACGCACAUUGCGCCCGCCAGUAUUCUGGCGGGCAUGCCUGUUCGAGCGUCAUUUCAACCCUCAAGCCCCCGGGUUUGGUGUUGGGGAUCGGCGAGCCCUUGCGGCAAGCCGGCCCCGAAAUCUAGUGGCGGUCUCGCUGCAGCUUCCAUUGCGUAGUAGUAAAACCCUCGCAACUGGUACGCGGCGCGGCCAAGCCGUUAAACCCCCAACUUCUGAAUGUUGACCUCGGAUCAGGUAGGAAUACCCGCUGAACUUAAGCAUAUCAAUAAGCGGAGGA